AGUAGAAUAGUCACAGCUAUAUUCCCCUUAGUCAGCAUUUUUUUGCAGAGCUCUUACCCCUUGGAAUUAGUUUCCAGGGCUUUCGUUAGGGCUGUUGCGGCCGCAUGUCAACCGGAAGAAGGUGAUCGAAGGGAAGUAAUUGUAAUUGGUUGAGAAAAACCAAUCAAAAAGUAUGUAUAGAUAUAAGUGAUGUUAUGAUUGGUUUGAAAGCUACUAAUGUAAAACGGAAUAAAAGAGUUUUGUAAAUUGGUAAUGGAGGUUUUAAGGGAAAAUAACAUUGAAUUAAGUGUGAAUACUUUUCGUUUCCAUUUAAAAUUGCUUUUGGAAAAGCAUGGGGGUUUAUUUGAAAGCAUGAUAGCUCGUAUUGGAAGAGAGAGAAGAACGUACUUGAAAAUUUGUGUGUAAUCUAUCAG